UUCCUGAGGAGGGAGCUCUGCAGCCUCAAGGUCACCCUCCUUCCUUCGCUGCCUCCUGCCAGAGAGGAAGGAGGAGGAGGAGGAGAGGGGCGCCUCCUCCUCAGCUCCCUCCUCCUGCCCUUGCUCUUCCCACCUGAGCGCUUCCUUGGCCGCCCUCCCUGCUUCUUCCUCCGGGGCUGGGCCAUCCCUGCUGCCGGGCUCCCUGGGAGCGGGGGGCUGGGGCUGAGGAUGCUGGGGGAGGCCCCGGGUGUCCGCCAUGUCCCCCCCGGCCUCGGCCUCGGCGGCGGCCUCGGCCUCAGCAAGGGCCAGCGGCAGCGGCAGCAGCCCCUCGGCGCCCCCCGAAGAAGAAGAAGAGGAGGAGGAGGAGCAGGACGAGGAAGAGGAGCAGGACGCGGCACAGGCAGCAGCAGCAGCAGCAGCAGGGGGCCCAGCGGCGGAGGGGCCCCGGGAGGAGCAGCGACCAGUAAAACAGUCUCUGAGCAAGUCACUCUGUAGGGAGUCACACUGGAAGUGCCUGGUUCUCUCCCUCCUCAUGUAUGGCUGUAUGGGAGCCAUGACCUGGUGCCAUGUGACUAAGGUGACCCGGCUGACAUUCGAUAGUGCCUACAAGGGGAAGUCCAUGAUGUACCAUGACAGUCCAUGCUCUAACGGUUAUGUCUACAUCCCCUUGGCCUUCCUUGUGAUGCUCUAUGUGGUUUAUCUGGUAGAAUGCUGGCAUUGCUACACCCGCAAUGAACUCCAGUACAAAGUGGAUGUGGAAAGCGUGCAUGAACGUGUCCAGAGGAUGCAGCAGGCCACGCCAUGCAUCUGGUGGAAAGCCAUCAGCUAUCAUUAUGUCAGGAGGACUCGCCAGGUCACCCGCUACCGCAAUGGGGAUGCUUAUACCACCACCCAAGUGUAUCAUGAGAGGGUCAACACCCAUGUGGCAGAAGCAGAGUUUGACUAUUCUAACUGUGGGGUGAAGGACAUCUCAAAGGACCUGAUUGACCUGGAGAAUUUCCCAGCCACCCGGCUUCGCUUCACCAAGUGCUUCAGUUUUGCCAAUGUGGAGUCGGAGAAUUCUUAUUUGACUCAGAGGGCACGCUUCUUCACAGAGAAUGAGGGAUUGGAUGACUACAUGGAGGCAAGGGAAGGCAUGCAUCUCAAGAAUGUGGACUUUAAAGAGUAUAUGGUGGCCUUCUCAGACCCAGACAACCUUCCUUGGUAUGUUUCCCACUACAUCUUCUGGGUAGCUGCUCUCUUAACUUUGUCCUGGCCCUUGCGAGUCUUGAAUGAGUAUCGCACUUCUUUUGUCCACUACCAUGUAGAGAAGCUCUUUGGGUUUGAUUAUGUGGCAGUAACUCCAGCUGAAGAACGUCCUUUCUGCCGGAGGAUGCCAAGGGUCAACACUGUCGAUAGUACUGAGCUAGAGUGGCACAUCCGAUCCAAUCAGCAGCUCGUGCCCAGCUACUCAGAAGCUGUCCUCAUGGACUUGGUAGGAUUGUCUGGCUGUACUACUUACUCCUCCUGCCGCUAUGGGAGCUACAGACAAAACUGUGAGCAGUGUCACAGGACUAUGAGCAGCUCAUCUAUUUUCUCCCGCAGCGCCCUCAGUAUUUGCAAUGGCAGCCCCAGAAUCCCUUUUAGCAGCAGCCGUUUCUCACUUGGGCGCCUCUAUGGCUCACGACGCAGCUGUCUUUGGCAAAGCCGGAGUGGGAGCCUAAAUGAACAGAGCUGCCCAACUGAGCAGACCCGCCUGUCCAGUCAAGUCACUGUGGAGGAGGAAGAUCCUCCUCCUUACCAGGAUGCUCUCUACUUUCCCAUCCUCAUUGUACAUCGAAAUGAGGGUUGCCUCAACCAUGAUCACCGCCAUCUACAUCGAAAUGGGUCCUGUGUGGAGACCUCACUGUGAGGGUAGGAGAACUACUCACAAGAGCUGCCCUAUAACCAGAUAUGGUUGGGGUACAGAUAGGGAAUAGCACAGAAACAGAGGUCCUAACUAUUAGCUGAUUGAGUCAGACAAGAUUGUUCCAUCUCAUGAUUCCACAGAGGACUCAACAGUUCCUUAGUCCUGUUCUGGCUCUGGAGACCUGUAGUGGCUUUGUCUUAAGGUAGUCAGCUGACAGCAACUGUCAGAAACCACAGCACAGAAUUUGCAGAUAACCACAGGCAACAAACUAACCAAAUUAAAAAAGUGAAAAGGAGAGUCAGUAACAGCUAGAGUACUGGGGCUAUUUCUUUUCAACCCUGCCUCCAACUAACUAAACCACUUUAACAAUACCUAGUAGGAACUCUCUCUGGGGGCUGUUACUCCAGCUUUGUACUUCACCAGAUGAAUCCAUUGGCAGUGUGGCAUGUUUUCUUCUCAAGCAAGUCAAAUAAUAGUGCUGUUUUCCAAGCAAAAGGAGCUGAAAAGUAGUUGAGAAGCAGCUACAAGUCAGGCCUUUUUCAUGUUUUCAAUUCUGUGCUCCGACUGUUAUACUGUUCUCAGCUGCCGAGGAUGUAAGAUCUUAGGACAUGUCUUAGGACAUUUCCUUGGAAAGCCCUAAUGUUUCACAUCUGAGAAUCAGCAUCUCAUAGGUAAAGUCUAAAGCAUGCAGCCCACAUUCUUUUCUUUUCCUUUUUUGUGGCAGCAGAAAGCAAGAGCGAACAGGGAACUUUAAUACAGUCUGGAAUCCAAGCCCAGGAGAAAGUCCAGUGUACAAAGUCAGAACUGUAUUUUCCCUGGAGUUAUCCAAAUUUGUCAGAAGAAAGUCAGAAAUUCAGCACUGUCUGCUGUUUUGGAUAAGGAAGAACCACCCAUCAUUCCCAAACAAAUGUUAGUAGAUCUGUGAUCCCGCUAUGAAGAAGAGGCGUGCUGUGCCAUGCCCAGACUUUAAUCUUCUCAAUGCCAUCAGAAGGAAAACAAUCAUGAGAUCUAAUUUCUGAUAGAUUGGCCUUCCUAGUCAAGAUGUGACAUCUCCAUAGUCCAAUGACUGAGACAAAUAUAGAAGAAUUACUGCUUCUGUUAGCAUUCUGUUUUGUUCCUCUGCUUACUUUGUUUGUCUUAUGAUGGAGCUGUACCAUUAUGAUGUCCCAUGGGGAGUUGGGGAGGGGUGUCUUUCUGCAAUCUGUAACAGUUUCUUCUGACAAAACAGCAUUUACCCAACUAUACAACACUUCCAGGAACAGCUGAAGAUUUGUGACUGGUGGGUGCCAUUUUAACAAGCAAACUUCUGUUAUAAGCACAACCUUUUACAUAUUUGUUCUGCACAUAUCCACGCUAACUAGGUAAGAACAUAUGUUCCUCCAGAAUAACCACACAUUCUUGAAAAGUUAUAAAUUUUGUGGAUUGUCUGCAAUAGUUUUUUUUUAACUGAUUUGCAAAAGUCACAAAGUGAUGAAGACUAUGGUGAUCUACACACAUACUUGGAAAUCUUUUGCUUUUCAGCAGCAUGAAUUGGUUCUGCUGCAUUCGCAGCCACACAUGUAUAGAGGGAGGAUAUAGCUAGAAUGUGUCCACAUGAUUUAGUAUCCAUAUCACUUACACAGCUCAAAUAUUCCCUAGCAGCACCAUCAGCUGAUACCUAAUGAGUCUUGAUGCUGGACAGCAUCCCAUUAAUCAAUCAAGGUGAAAAAUGCUUGUUUGAAAAACAAGGCUUAGAGGCACAAACUAGUCUCCAGAGGCAAGCACAUUCAUAAGGACCAGAUGAUAAAACAGUAUGAGAUUAUUUUUAGUUUUGGUUUUUCCCUCUCACUGGGCAACAGUGUAGUGAGAAAAUACACAAUGAGGUGUGGAUGAGUGAUACAAAAGAGCUUUUCCAUGUCUGCCUUUUAGAGCUUUGUAUAAGCUGAAUUCCAUGGUUUUUAUAACACAAUCUAUAUUUUUUUUAAUGUUUUAUCCAACUCGAUUAAAUUACAAGUUAUGGACCAGAAAGGCAACAAAACACAGCAACUUAAAUUUGCUGUCUUGGAGGCAUUUCAUUUGAGUGUUACAGUGGAGAGUAGACAUGCAUGACUGAUGUUUGUUCUGGGAAACUACAGAGGAUAAAAUAUCCAUAGACACAUUGGAGAAACAAAAUCACUCUGUACUUUGGUGCAAGAUGUUAAAGCAUCAAGCUGGCUAUGUUUUUUGGUCCAUUUCUCAUUCUUGUGAAUGAAAACCCUGUCUCUUGUUUUGGUCAGGAAGUUGUAUUCAUUAAUGUUUGCUUAAAGGAGGAUAGUUCUGCAGUUUUAUAUUAGUGGUAAACAGGAACAGAGCCCAUUGGAUAACAUAUUGGAGAAUCUUUAGCACUCUUUGCUCUAGCAAACAAAUUUGAACUAAACUGCUAUCAGUAAAAGAAUCAAACCUUGUAAAAUAGUAACAUCUUAGCAUGGCACCAAGCCAACAAAGAAGGCCCUCUCCCAGAAAUCCACACAAUUUGUUCACAUUGUAGGAUACAGAAGAGGUGCCUCUUAGCAGUUCUUAGUAUUCAGUAGGUGCAGUGACUAGCCUUUUAUCAGGAUCUAAAAACAAAUGUUGUCCAGUAAGGGAACAUUUUCACAGUGAAAAAGUCAGCAGUAGCAGAACAUGCCACUAACCAUCCUGGGCAUAAAAUACUGUUUGAAAACACCGAAGUUCUGGACCAUG